rnacentral:rRNA from 1 species
AUGGACGAAAGUCUGAUGGAGCAAUACCACGUGAACGAUGAAGGUCUUCUGAUUGUAAAGUUCUUUUAUUUAGGAAAAAAAGCGCGCUAGGAAAUGAGCGCGCCUUGAUGGUACUAAUUGAAUAAGUGACAGCUAACUAUGUGCCAGCAGCUGCGGUAAAACAUAGGUCACGAGCAUUAUCCGGAUUUAUUGGGCGUAAAGGAAGCGUAGGUGGGGAGGUUGAUCCAUUGUUAAAGGCAUUUGCUUAACAAAUGUGUGCGAUGGAGAUCGCCUCCCUAGAGUUAAUCAGGGGGUACUGGAAUUCAAUGUGUAGCGGUGGAAUGCGUAGAUAUAUUGAGGAACACCAGAGGCUAAGGCGAGUGCCUAGGAUAUAACUGACACUGAGGCUUGAAAGCGUGGGGAGCAAAUGGGAUUAGAUACCCCAGUAGUCCACGCCGUAAACGAUGGGCAUUAGGUAUUUGACAUCUAGUCGAGUG